rnacentral:rRNA from 1 species
GACGAACGCUGGCGGCGUGCCUAAUACAUGCAAGUCGAACGCAGUGGGGACGGGUGCGUAACACGUGGGUAACCUCCCAUCAGAGGGGAUAACACUUGGAAACAGGUGCUAAACCGAUACUGAUGGAUGUACCCGCGGUUCAUUAGCUAGUUGGUGAGGUAACGGCUCACCAAGGCCACGAUGCAUCGCCGACCUGAGAGGUUGUGCGGCCACACUGGGACUGAGAAACGGCCCAGACUCCUACGGUAGGAAGCAGUAGGGAAUCUUCGGAAAUGGACGAAAGUCUGACCGAGAAACGCCGCGUGAGUGAAGAAGUUUUUCGGAUCGUAAAACUCUGUUGUUAGAGAAGCGGUAUCUAACCAGAAAGCCACGGCUAACUACGUGCCAACAGCCGCGGUAAUUC